CCUACGGGUGGCAGCAGUGAGGAAUAUUGGUCAAUGGGCGGAAGCCUGAACCAGCCAAGUAGCGUGCAGGAUGACGGCCCUACGGGUUGUAAACUGCUUUUAUACGGGAAUAACGCGCCUUACGUGUAGGGCUUUGCAUGUACCGUAUGAAUAAGGACCGGCUAAUUCCGUGCCAGCAGCCGCGGUAAUACGGAGGAUGCGAGCGUUAUCCGGAUUUAUUGGGUUUAAAGGGUGCGCAGGCGGAAGAUCAAGUCAGCGGUAAAAUUGAGAGGCUCAACCUCUUCGAGCCGUUGAAACUGGUUUUCUUGAGUGAGUGAGAAGUAUGCGGAAUGCGUGGUGUAGCGGUGAAAUGCAUAGAUAUCACGCAGAACUCCGAUUGCGAAGGCAGCAUACCGGCGCUCAACUGACGCUCAUGCACGAAAGUGUGGGUAUCGAACAGGAUUAGAUACCCGGGUAGUC
rnacentral:rRNA from 1 species